rnacentral:rRNA from 1 species
CAGCAGCCGCGGGAAUACGUAGGUCCCGAGCGUUGUCCGGAUUUAUUGGGCGUAAAGCGAGCGCAGGCGGUUAGAUAAGUCUGAAGUUAAAGGCUGUGGCUUAACCAUAGUACGCUUUGGAAACUGCUUAACUUGAGUGCAAGAGGGGAGAGUGGACUUCCAUGUGUAGCGGUGAAAUGCGUAGAUAUAUGGAGGAACACCGGUGGCGAAAGCGGCUCUCUGGCUUGUAACUGACGCUGAGGCUCGAAAGCGUGGGGAGCAAACAGGAUUAGAUACCCGCGUAGUCCCUGUCUCUUAUACA